GAUGAAGAACGUAGUGAAAUGCGAUAAGUAAUGCGAAUUGCAGAAUCCGUGAGUCAUCGAAUCUUUGAACGCACAUUGCGCCCUCUGGUAUUCCGGAGGGCAUGCCUGUCCGAGCGUCAUUGCUGCCCUCAAGCACGGCUUGUGUGUUGGGCCCCGCCCCCCGAUCCCGGGGGGCGGGCCCGAAAGGCAGCGGCGGCACCGCGUCCGGUCCUCGAGCGUAUGGGGCUUUGUCACCCGCUCUGUAGGCCCGGCCGGCGCUUGCCGAUCAACCAAACUUUUUUCCAGGUUGACCUCGGAUCAGGUAGGGAUACCCGCUGAACUUAAGCAUAUCAAUAAGCGGAGGA
rnacentral:misc_RNA from 1 species